AUAUAUAACUAUUUUUCAUUAAAUAUAUUAUGCUAACAUGUAAUAGGUUUAUAAUAAGUAACUCAAAUAACAAACAGUUUAAAUUUUUUUGUUUUAACUUUUAAUGCAGUAAAUAUCAUAUCUAAACUUAUAUAAACAAAGUUUUUGAGAUCUUCAAUGAUUUUUAAGAGUGUAAAGAGGUUCUGGGGCCUCUACUAGAGUAGAACCACUACUCUAAAUAGUUGUUUUUUUGUUUUUUGUCUUUUUGCCUUUUCUAGGGCCGCUCCUGCGGCAUAUGGAGGUUCCCAGGCUAGGGGUCCAAUCGGAGCUAUAGCCACCAGCCUAAGCCAGAGCCACAGCAACGCGGGAUCCGAGCCGUGUCUGCAACCUACACCACAGCUCACGGCAACGCCAGAUCGUUAACCCACUGAGCAAGGGCAGGGACUGAACCUGCAACCUCAUGGUUCCUACUCAGAUUCAUUAACCACUGCGCCACGACGGGAACUCCCUAAAUAGUUCUCCAAACUUGGGCUAGUCUCCUUUGACUAUUCACAGGAAGAUAGUGCUUAGGGCUAAAGGGGUGGUAGAAAAUGAUCACUUCCUGGUAAGUUUAGGCAGGGGAAUAUUGUGAGGAAGGAUCUUCAGAAAUUAGAGUUAGCAUUGUAACAGUUCAUUCUCACAGUGUUGGGCAGGUCUAACAGAGUAGGACCAUUGAGUUUAAGGAAGGCAAAACAAGCCCUCUGAGGAAAGAUAGGCUGCAAGUCAGUAUUGAGGAAAAAGAAAGAGCUGAAACCCUUUUCAAAAGUUUUUUUUUUUAAAUCUUUUGCCUUUUUUUUGGGCUGCACCCAUGGCAUACGGAGGUUCCCAGGCUAGGGGUUUUUAAUUAGAGCUGUAGCCCUGGCUGACACCAUAGCCACAGCAAUGCGGGAUCUGAGUGAAGUCUGCGACCUACGCUAUCUCUCACAGCAAUGCCAGAUCCUCAACCCACUGAGCGAGGCCAGGGAUCAAACCCAGGUCCUCAUGGAUGUCAGUCAGAUUCGUUUCCGCUGAGCCAUAACCGGAAGUCCCCAAAACCCCUUUUGAUUAGAAAUUCUGGUUGCUUUCAAUAUGUGUGUCCCUAAUCUAUUUAUAGAACUUCUCCUUUCCUGAUCAAAAAAGACAAAAGGGAUCACAACUGAAUCUCACUGUGGGCCCACAAUUUCUCCUCAAGAAGUCAUAAUAGAAAGUGUUAAAGGAGUUCCCUGGUGGUGCAGGGGAUUAAGGAUCUGGUAUUGUCACUGCUGUGGCUCAGGUUGCUGCUGUGCAGGUUUGAUCCAUGGCCCAGGAAAUUCCAUAUGCUGUGGGCAGGCCAGAAAACUUUUUAAAAUAAAAAAUAAAUUGAAGUUCCCACUGUGGCACAAUGGGUUAAGGAUCUGGUGUUGCCUUAGCUGUGCAUAGGUUGCAGCUGAGGCUUGGGUUGGAUCCUGGCCUUGAAAUUUCCACAUAAUAAAUAUUUUUUUAAAUUAAAAAUAACAAAAUAAAUUAAAAAGAGUGUUAGGACAGUGCAUUGGUGGAAUGGUACUUUGGUCAACUCUCAAAAUUUAGCUUAAAGAUUGAUGAGGGAAGCCCUCUAUUGUCUAUCUCCUCUUCAAUCAAUAAGAAAACAAAGUCAGCCCUGAGGCUCAGGACCUUUGGGAUUCUUACAGUCUGAGGGUAGAAAGUGAUGUAUAUACCUGAGUAUUAUUUAGACACUGAAUUUAAUAAGGAGAAAACGCCACAAGAAACCAUUUGACUCAUUUCAGUUGCUCAGGGUCCUGAAAUUUCCGUCUCAGUGUGAUGAAAAGAAUUAAAGUAUGAGCUAACUCAAAAAUGGGUUGCUGUCUAAGAGGAAAGGGAAAGAAUGGGAACCAGUUCUAGCUUCAGAAGGGAUUGUUCUGAAAUUAGGAAAAAGAACAUCACCAGUGAGGUCACAGCAAGAACUGGAAUCCCCCAGGAGGCUCUACAGUCCUUGGUUUGGUCAUUGCAGGAAGCUUUCCUGAUAGCACCCUGGAUAUAGACAUAGGCCAUCCUGGUAACCAAUUAUCAUUUAUUUUCCUCAAGACUUAGGUGUGAGGAAACUAAAGAAUAGUGAUAUAUGUGAACCCCAGAGUCAGCCUGCCUGGAUUGAUGUUGUAUCCCAUGGUCUCAAUAUCCUUCCCUGUAAAAUGGGAAGAAUGAUAGUACUGACUUUAUAAGAUUCUUAUGAGGAUUACCUAAGAUACUGCAUACAAGAAACUCAACACAAGACAUGGCACAUAACUAAGUGCCUAAUAAAUGGAAGUUAUUAUUAGGGAGAGUCUUUGCUUCCUAUUCCCAUCUGUGAGCAGUUUUUCCAUUACUUUUCAACAGAAGCCUUUUCUCUCCAAGAUGCUGAUCUUGGAGGCAUCUGGUCCCUGAGUCAUCACUAAGAUGCUGGGUUUCUGAAGUCAUUCCUUCUACUCUUCUCUAAGGGCUCCCUCUCCUGACUGCUUAACUCUCGCGGAGGCUCAGGUCCACAAUCCAGGCAGGGAGUGUAGGUAGGGCUUGGCCACCUGUCUCAGGAGAAAGGUUCCCAGUCCCCUUAGGAGUCUCCCUAAGACUUGAGAGACCCACCGGACACAGAGAAAUGCCCCAGCCCAGAAACAGGAGUGAGGUAGGGAGGUGAGAGUGAGGUUGAGGAAGGGGGCGCGCUCCCGAGGUUCGCGCGAGGCCACACCCCGAAGUCAGUUUGCUGGUGGGCGGAGCCACACGCGGAGGUGAGCAGCUGGGGGCGGGCAACAACCCGUGGUGGAAACAAGGCCAAGGUCGUGGCCGCGGCCCGGCCGCCGGGACGCUUAGGAAUGGCCAGUCCUCUCCACAGGCGGCGCGCGCAGCCGCCCAGGGCAGGAGGCAACGCAGAGAUUAAGGCUGCCGAAGCCACCUGAGCGCCACUGAGGAGACCCAUGAAUCCGCGAAUCGCGAACGGGCGAGGCUAACAGUACUUGGAACAAGAGAAACAUGAACUAAAGACGAUUUGAGAACCGAGAAGGGGAGUGGACAGGGCACGUGUCCUAGCUGAAGAGUCGUGUGAAACAACUCCAGGAUGAGUCAGAGAGGCAGCAGGUUCA
rnacentral:lncRNA from 1 species